GUCUAUGGCCAUACCACCCCGAACGUACUCUAUCUCAUCUGAUCUCGGAAGCUAAGCAGGGUCGGGCCUGGUUAGUACUUGGAUGAGAGUCCACCUUCGAAUACCAGGUGCUAUAGGCA
rnacentral:rRNA from 1 species